AUUGAACGCUGGCGGCAGGCCUAACACAUGCAAGUCGAACGAGUGGCGGACGGGUGAGUAAUGUCUGGGAAACUGCACGAUGGAGGGGGAUAACUACUGGAAACGGUAGCUAAUACCGCAUACCAUCGGAUGUGCCCAGAGGGGAUUAGCUAGUAGGUGGGGUAACGGCUCACCAAGGCGACGCUCCCUAGCUGGUCUGAGAGGAGGACCAGCCACACGGGAACUGAGACACGGUCCAGACUCCUACGGAAGGCAGCAGUGGGGAAUAUUGCACAAGGGGCGAAAGCCGGAUGCAGCCAGGCCGCGUGUAUGAAGAAGGCCUUCGGGUUGUAAAGUACUUUCAGCGGGGAGGCGUUACUCGCAGAAGAAGCACCGGCUAACUCCGUGCCAGCAGCCGCGGUAAUAC
rnacentral:rRNA from 1 species